ACCUCUGGACUUGUUUUCAUGGUGAAAACGGCUACCGAAUGCUAUUUUUGUGUGAAAAUUUUCGAUUUUAUAAUUUACAAUUUUUAGUUUAAAGUGCUAUAACUUUUUAAAAAAUGUAUGGAUCAAUACAAUUUUUUCAUGAGAAUUAGUAUUUAUAUACAUUUUUCAUUGGAUAUACUUUUUUUUUAAAUCAGACUAUUUCCCUAUAUAUGGGGGGGCUUCAAAUAUAAAAAAUGCAUAUAGAAAGUAGAACUUUUUCAACUUAACUUUUGAAAGUGUUCCGGAAGGUCUGACACUUUUAUAUAUAUCUUAAAUUGAAGCUUAUGUAAUAUACUUUAAUUUGAAAAAAAAAAAUUUGACCUCUG